rnacentral:rRNA from 1 species
UGAGGAAUAUUGGUCAAUGGACGAGAGUCUGAACCAGCCAAGUAGCGUGAAGGAUGACUGCCCUAUGGGUUGUAAACUUCUUUUAUACGGGAAUAAAGUGCAGUAUGUAUACUGUUUUGUAUGUACCGUAUGAAUAAGGAUCGGCUAACUCCGUGCCAGCAGCCGCGGUAAUACGGAGGAUCCGAGCGUUAUCCGGAUUUAUUGGGUUUAAAGGGAGCGUAGGCGGAUGCUUAAGUCAGUUGUGAAAGUUUGCGGCUCAACCGUAAAAUUGCAGUUGAUACUGGGUGUCUUGAGUACAGUAGAGGUAGGCGGAAUUCGUGGUGUAGCGGUGAAAUGCUUUUAGAUAUCACGAAGAACUCCGAUUGCGAAGGCAGCCUGCUGGACUGUAACUGACGCUGAUGCUCGAAAAGUGU